CACGCUGUAAACGAUGGGCACUAGGUGUCGGAGGUGUCGACUCCUCCGGUGCCAAAGCUAACGCAUUAAGUGCCCCGCCUGGGGAGUACGGCCGCAAGGCUAAAACUCAAAGGAAUUGACGGGGACCCGCACAAGCAGCGGAGCAUGUGGUUCAAUUCGACGCAACGCGAAGAACCUUACCUGGGCUUGACAUGUAGGUGACAACCGUGGAAACACGGUCUCCCUUCGGGGCACCUUCACAGGUGGUGCAUGGCUGUCGUCAGCUCGUGCCGUGAGGUGUUGGGU
rnacentral:rRNA from 1 species